AUAAGCAAUUAUACCGUGAAACUGCGAAUGGCUCAUUAAAUCAGUUAUCGUUUAUUUGAUAAUACCUUACUACUUGGAUAACCGUGGUAAUUCUAGAGCUAAUACAUGCUGAAAAUCCCGACUUCGGAAGGGAUGUGUUUAUUAGAUAAAAAACCAAUGCCCUUCGGGGCUUUUUGGUGAUUCAUGAUAACUUUACGGAUCGCAUAGCCUUGCGCUGGCGACGGUUCAUUCAAAUUUCUGCCCUAUCAACUUUCGAUGGUAAGGUAUUGGCUUACCAUGGUUUCAACGGGUAACGGGGAAUUAGGGUUCGAUUCCGGAGAGGGAGCCUGAGAAACGGCUACCACAUCCAAGGAAGGCAGCAGGCGCGCAAAUUACCCAAUCCCGACACGGGGAGGUAGUGACAAUAAAUACUGAUACAGGGCUCUUUUGGGUCUUGUAAUUGGAAUGAGUACAAUUUAAACCUCUUAACGAGGAACAAUUGGAGGGCAAGUCUGGGCCA
rnacentral:rRNA from 1 species